rnacentral:other from 1 species
GGAUUACUGCGCUGCCCGUAACAUGCACGAGCAUUCCCAGGGUCGAUAUUCAUACCGAGAGGGAGCUACCACUGGCCGGAUCGUGGUCCGGUUAUGCGGCGCCCACCUGAUACUUCAGGACCUCGGCGAAUCACAGUUGCUAACGACAGUGCGGUGCCAUU